UACGGAGGGUGCGAGCGUUGUCCGGAAUCACUGGGCGUAAAGGGCGCGUAGGCGGCCUGAUAAGUAGGGGGUGAAAUCCUGCGGCUUAACCGCAGGGCUGCCUUCUAAACUGUCAGGCUCGAGCACAGUAGAGGCAGGUGGAAUUCCCGGUGUAGCGGUGGAAUGCGUAGAGAUCGGGAAGAACACCAAUGGCGAAGGCAGCUCUCUGGGACGGUACUGACGCUGAGACGCGAAAGCGUGGGGAGCGAACAGG
rnacentral:rRNA from 1 species